rnacentral:rRNA from 1 species
GACGAACGCUGGCGGCGUGCUUAACAUAUGCAAGUCGAACGGUAAGGCCCCUCCGGGGGUACACGAGUGGCGAACGGGUGAGUAACACGUGAGUAACCUGCCCCUAACACUGGGAUAACUCCUGGAAACAGGUGCUAAUACCGGAUACCAACUUCCUAGGCAUCUAUGAAGUUUGAAAGCUCCGGCGGUUAGGGAUGGACUCGCGGCCUAUCAGCUUGUUGGUGAGGUAACGGCUCACCAUGGCUACGAUACAUAGGGGGACUGAGAGGUUAACCCCCACACUGGUACUGAGACACGGACCAG